rnacentral:rRNA from 1 species
AUUGAACGCUGGCGGCAGGCCUAACACAUGCAAGUCGAACGAGUGGCGGACGGGUGAGUAAUGUCUGGGAAACUGCCUGAUGGAGGGGGAUAACUACUGGAAACGGUAGCUAAUACCGCAUACCAUCGGAUGUGCCCAGAUUGGAUGAGCUAGUAGGUGGGGUAAAGGCUCACCUAGGCCACGAUCCCUAGCUGGUCUGAGAUGAUGACCAGCCACACUGGAACUGAGACACGGUCCAGACUCCUACGGGAGGCAGCAGUGGGGAAUAGUGGACAAUGGGCGCAAGCCUGAUGCAGUCAUGCCGCGUGUAUGAAGAAGGCCUUCGGGUUGUAAAGUACUUUCAGCGGGGAGGCGUUACCCGCAGAAGAAGCACCGGCUAACUCCGUGCCAGCAGCCGCGGUAAUUC